rnacentral:snRNA from 1 species
GUGCUCGCUUCGGCAGCACAUAUACUAAAAUUGGAACGAUACAGAGAAGAUUAGCAUGGGCCCUGCGCAAGGAUGACACACAAAUUCGUGAAAUGUUCCAUAUUUUU